CCUACGGGAGGCAGCAGUGAGGAAUAUUGGUCAAUGGGCGGAAGCCUGAACCAGCCAAGUAGCGUGCAGGAUGACGGCCCUACGGGUUGUAAACUGCUUUUAUACGGGAAUAACGCGCCUUACGUGUAGGUCUUUGCAUGUACCGUAUGAAUAAGGACCGGCUAAAUCCGUGCCAGCAGCCGCGGUAAUACGGAAGGUCCGGGCGUUAUCCGGAUUUAUUGGGUUUAAGGGGAGCGUAGGCCGCAUGUCAAGCGUGUUGUGAAAUGUCGGGGCUCAACCCGAGCCUUGCAGCGGAAACUGGCAUGCUUGAGUCCACUGAAAGCAGGCGGAAUUCGUGGUGUAGCGGUGAAAUGCUUAGAUAUGACGAAGAACCCCGAUUGCGAAGGCAGCUUACUGAAGCGGAACUGACACUGAUGCUCGAAAGCGCGGGUAUCGAACAGGAUUAGAUACCCUUGUAGUC
rnacentral:rRNA from 1 species